UAAAAUUUAGUUUAAUUUCUGUCAAAAUUUCGGCAGCACCUCCCCUAAAAAUUGGACUAUCUACCUGCUCACAUAUCACAAUAUCAUUAUAUCUUUAUCAAUCAAAGCACACAGCCCAUCCGUCGGGCAAGCAAUCAAUUCAAAUACCCAUCCGCCUUCAAUAAUAUAUCACCAAUCAACCAUAAUUUACAAAUUAAAAGACCUUCAACUAUUCUAGGAAUAUUAUCAAUAAUUCUUUGCUUAAGGUAUAAACAAUAUCAUUAAACAUUUAUUAAAGUUCUAGACUAACUAUUAAUAACUAAUAUUUCAAUUAAAUUCCAAUUUAGUAAAUACUUCUACUAGAUAACUCAACUCGAAACUUAAACAUAUAACUAAAGCUUCAUAAAUUUCUCCGUCUUAACAUAAAAAUACCACUUCUAGAUAUAGCUAAAGAGUUUUUUUUUUUUUUUUCAAUUGAAUCGUUAAUUUAGCAAGAAUAUUGCUAUCAAGCACUAACCAACACUAACCCACAUAAGAGUAUUGAAAAUAUAAAUAUAUACAUACAUCUGUUUCCAUACCAAUUAUUUAACAUAGUACUAAGUACCCGAAAUAGCUACUGCCCCCAAGAAAAAUAUAUUUUCCUUAAACUUAAACUCAUAUCGCAUUAAGAACUUGGUUUAUGACUUCGCAUACUCAUCCCAAUAUAGGAAUCAUUUAUACAUCGAUUUCAAGAGCAAAAAUUCAAAAUUGGCUAUUCACGUUCACCUUAUCAGUAGCUAGGUAUAUAAAGCAAUAGCUCCAAGUAUUAACAAAUAACAAUUGUUGUGAUUAUCAUGCUACUCUAUUCUUAAACUAAGACUACCUUAAUCACACUAGCAUAUUCAACAAAAUAUGUUUCAAAUAAAGUUAGCAAGAAAUUAAUUUAAAUUUUCUAAAAUAUUUAUAUGAACAGUAGUAUCUAAGGCUUUAUUCUACAGUAAUUCAAUUAGCAAAUCAAAUCCUAUAACUAUACUCAAUGAAUUCAUGAAAAAUAUACUGAAAAAGGGUCAACAAUCACUUUACCUGCCUAUGGAAUCCAAGUUUGGUUCUGCCGUCAUCAACUUGGCCGGGGAAGGCAGCCAUGGCGUGCGAUGAAGAGCUGGCGACGAGAGGAGAGUCGAAUUCGCCAGCUUGUGGCUGGUCUUGCCGGAAAGUGCAAAGAAAACAGGUAACGGGACUAUGCCAAUCGCCACCACAGUCGCAGUUUCCCCCGAUUGCUGCUGCGUCAGCCGAAACAGGAAGAGAGAGAGAACGGCGAGAAAGAGAGCUAGAGCUUCACCGUCGACUAGAGAGUGGCCGGAGCUAGCUGCUUGCACUGAAGUCGGCGGAGAUCGAGGAAUUAGGGACCAGAUUUCUCGAUCGAGCGAAAUCGCAGCUCUCCUGCGAAAGCUACGCUAGCUGCGCUCGCCGGAAAUAGCAGAGGAGGUGGAGAGAGCGGUGGCAGCGGUAGGUGGCGGUGGCGGUGGCGUUGGCUGUGAACGAAAAAAAAGAAGAGGGGAGGGGAGGCUAUGUUCCGCGCUAGAGAAGAAGGACGAAGAAGAAGAAAAGAAAUUUUGGGUUUCUAGACUAUUCCGAUUCAAUUCGAAUCGGUUUGGUCCAAUUAAAUGAUUCGGUUCGAUUUGCUUGGUUUUUUAAUCCGAUUUAAUUUAUUUUGAUUCUUUUAGGCCG
rnacentral:lncRNA from 1 species